GCUGGGCGUGGUGGUGCACACCUGUAAUCCCAGCAGCUCAGGAGGCUAAGACAGGAGGAUCACAAGUUCAAAGCCAGCCUCAGUAACAGUGAGGUGCUAAGCAGCUCAGUGAGACCCUGUCUCUA
rnacentral:sRNA from 1 species